rnacentral:RNase_P_RNA from 1 species
GAUAUGAACCGUUCUAUCGCUUCAGUUUAGGCUGAAGAGGAAAGUCCGGGCAACAAAGAGCGCCGCAUCUCCUAACUGGAGAGGUCAUUAAGACACAGAAAGUGCCACAGAAAAUAACUAUCUGUUUACAGAUAAAGGUGAAAAAGUGAGUUAAUCCUCACUGCGUACGUAUGGUAAGUACUUACGGGGGUAAACCUUGCGGGUUGAAAGGCAAAAUAAAUUUCGAAAGCGUAAGCUGCCGGGUUGCUCGCCCGGUUUUUCGAAAAGGGUAUGCCGAUGGAGCCAUGGGGUGACUCAUGGCCUAGAUAAAUGAUAGAAACUGAUUCGUCAGUGAACAGAACCCGGCUUACAGGUUUAUAUCCAUU